ACUAUUUUGGCAGAAUAAUGUAAUAAAUUUAGAAUUUAUAGAUGUAAUUUAUAUUACAAAUAGUA
rnacentral:tRNA from 1 species